GAUGAAGAACGUAGCGAAAUGCGAUAAGUAAUGUGAAUUGCAGAAUUCAGUGAAUCAUCGAAUCUUUGAACGCACCUUGCGCCCUUUGGCUAUUCCGAAGGGCAUGCCUGUUUGAGGAUCAUGAACACCUCAACUCUUUAUGGUUUUCCAUGAAGGGCUUGGACUUUGGGGGUCUUGCUGGCCUUUAGUCAGCUCCUCUCAAACGAAUCAGCUUUCCAGUGUUUGGCAGCGUCACAGGUGUGAUAACUAUCUACGCUUGUGGUUUUCUGCCAGGUAAUCCUCAGUGAUGGGGAUUCGCUGGGGCUUAUAAAUGUCUCUCCUCAGCGAAGACAGCUUUGUGAACGUUUGAUCUCAAAUCAGGUAGGACUACCCGCUGAACUUCAGCAUAUCAAUAAGCGGAGGA
rnacentral:misc_RNA from 1 species